AGUGAACGCUGGCGGUAGGCCUAACACAUGCAAGUCGAACGGCAGCACAGUAAGAGCUUGCUCUUACGGGUGGCGAGUGGCGGACGGGUGCGGAAUACAUCGGAAUCUACUUUUUCGUGGGGGAUAACGUAGGGAAACUUACGCUAAUACCGCAUACGACCUACGGGUGAAAGCAGGGGAUCUUCGUACCUUGCGCGAUUGAAUGAGCCGAUGUCGGAUUAGCUAGUUGGCGGGGUAACGGCCCACCAAGGCGACGAUCCGUAGCUGGGCUGAGAGGAUGAUCAGCCACGCGGGAACUGAGACACGGUCCAGACGCCUAAGGGAGGAGGCAGUGGGGAAUAUUGGAAAAUGGGAGCAAGCCUGAUCCAGCGAUAGCGCGUGGGUGCAGAAGGCCUUGGGGUUGUAAAGCCCUUUUGUUGGGAAAGAAAAGCAGCAGGUUAAUACCGCGCUGUUCUGACGGUACCCAAAGAAUAAGCACCGGCUAACUUCGUG
rnacentral:rRNA from 1 species